UAGCUAAGUAUGGACGGGAUAACCGCUGAAAGCAUCUAAGCGGGAAGCCUCCCUCAAAACUAGGUAUCCCUUGAGAGUCGUGGAAGACUACCACGUUGAUAGGCUAGGUGUUGAAGUGUGGUGACAUAUGAAGCUAACUAGUACUAAUAACUCGAAUGAACUUUAUUG
rnacentral:rRNA from 1 species